rnacentral:rRNA from 1 species
CCUACGGGUGGCAGCAGUGAGGAAUAUUGGUCAAUGGGCGAGAGCCUGAACCAGCCAAGUCGCGUGAAGGAUGAAGGACCUAUGGGUUGUAAACUUCUUUUAUAUGGGAAUAAAGUGAGGAACGUGUUCCUUUUUUUAUGUACCAUAUCAAUAAGCAUCCGCUAACUCCGUGCCAGAAGCCCCCGUAAUACGGAGGAUGCGAGCGUUAUCCGGAUUUAUUGGGUUUAAAGGGUGCGUAGGUGGUUAAUUAAGUCAGCGGUGAAAGUUUGUGGCUCAAGCAUAGAAUUGCCGUUGAAACUGGUUGACUUGAGUAUAUUUGAGGUAGGUGGAAUGCGUGGUGUAGCGGUGAAAUGCAUAGAUAUCACGCAGAACUCCGAUUGCGAAGGCAGCUGACUAAACUAUAACUGACACUGAAGCACGAAAGCGUGGGGAUCAAACAGGAUUAGAUACCCGGGUAGUC